UACGGAGGAUCCAAGCGUUAUCCGGAUUUAUUGGGUUUAAAGGGUGCGUAGGCGGCUUAUUAAGUCAGGGGUGAAAGACGGUGGCUCAACCAUCGCAGUGCCCUUGAUACUGAUGAGCUUGAAUGAACUAGAGGUAGGCGGAAUGUGACAAGUAGCGGUGAAAUGCAUAGAUAUGUCACAGAACACCGAUUGCGAAGGCAGGUGGCUACGCUUCAACUGACACUGAGGCACGAAAGCGUGGGGAGCGAACAGG
rnacentral:rRNA from 1 species